GGAAUGUGUCCAAGACGCUCGAAAAUUGAAUUUUAUUGCCAAGUGUCUCAACACUUUUGUCGCCCAUUGUAGACCACUCGAUCCAAAGACGAGUGCCCUACCAAGAGGCUGAACCUCCCGUACUUAAGGUAAAUUUUCUGGACCCUAAAACUUGCCUCUUUCCUGUACAGCAUUGAAAAGGAGGAGGAGGUGUGGUUCCCAAUGUAAACAGAAUUUGAAAUGGAAUAAGUGAAAUGGUGAAAUUAGCCCUCUAUUCAGUCAACUGUCUCAACUACUUUUGUCACCCAUUGUAAAUAAAAUGAAAAAAAUACCGCACAAGAAAGAUAUUGAUUACCAAGAUGCUUAAAAUCGGUAGCAACGACAUCUUUUCAAUUGACUGUACAUAUGUAGUCUGUAAAACUUAAGAGGUUGAGGCUGUCAUAAAGGUUAAAACAUUUCCUGUUUCUUACUAGAUACAAAAGAGAGAAGCAACAAUGAAAGUAUGUGCAGAGACUCAGGAGAAGAAAAAAUCAAAUCAAGACAUGGGAUUCCUUGUUAAGUGGGUCACAAUUGCUUUGUGAUUGGUUUCAGGUGCUAGCCUAGGCGUGACUGUGCACAAUGCAGGUGAAAAAGUUUAAACAAAUAGAGAUGUUACUGUUUCACUGUUCAUUCUUUUCAAGAUACAGUUGUUAUGUGGCAAUACAACACCCUAGCCCUUCAGGGGUGGGGUGCACAAAAAUUCCUUAAAACUACAAAUGCCUGCGCACAUUGUUGAUGAGUAUUUUUUGUGGGAGGAGAGACACAGUAAUCUAGUGCACACUGGACUGCAGAUCAAGAAGGCUGGGUUAGAGCCAAUGGUUAGGGUCUCUGUGUUGUGUUCUUGGCCACAAGUUAAAACAAUUCCCAUUUCUUACUAGAUAAAAACCAAAAAGCUGUGUGCGGAGACUGCUGUGGAGAAAGGUUCAUAUUGAGAUAGUAGAUUCCAUAUCAGAUACAAAACAGAGAAGCAAGAAAAAGAACUACAGUAUGUACUGAGACUCGAGAGGAGAAAGAAUCAGAUUGAUACAUUGGAUCCCAUAGUAGGCUGCCAUCUCAAGUGUACAUGCGACGGCAUUAACAUGCACAGCGAAGCAAAGGAAAGCAAAGAACUUCGCUUAGAUGUUUCCUCUGUGGAUCACGUUUUGAUAGUGAGGUAGAUUUACAAGACAAAGUGUAGGUUGAGUUUCUUGCGACAAGAUUAUUAGGACGGAGCCCGUAUUAGUGAUUUCAAAACACAAAACUCUAGAGUCAAAAGAGGACGUUGGAAUUUCUGUUAAGUUGUCUUGUAUCUGCUGAAUUGUCUCGUAUCUUACUAGUUUUCGAGGAAGCCGCGAAUUGUAUUUCAAGUUUUAGCUUUAAAAUUAAGGUGGAAUAUUAGCAUUACCUGGAUUAGUUUUUGUUACUAGAGUUUUUAGCCAGGAAGACUCUUAUUAAACUCGUUGAAAUUACCGCGCAAUUGUCUAGUAUCUAUUUCACACAUUUACUGAAAUCCGUGCAGUUUUCGAGGACGCAUUUAAUUGAUGUAAAGGUUGCGCUUUUAAAAGGGCUAAGAAGAAAAUCGAAAAAUGUUGUCCUUAGAAAAAAAAGUCUGCAAUUUUAAAUGCUGUCUGUUUUAGAGUCCAGCAUAUACUGUGUCUUUUGGCGGAAAAAAUUUUGCACUAUGUAGGAUUUUUUCCCAUCAAAAGUCAAAGUAUACGCUUGAUUUCUGGCCAGACUCUGUUCAAAAACGCAGAAUUUUUUUUCUUUUUGGCAACCCUACAUAGUCAAAAAAUAGUAAAAGAGAUAGCCUACAUUUUGACUAGUACGAGGCUCUUUUAAAAGCGCAUUUUUUUUGUUAUUUUUUACUUAUUCAGAUUUUUUGUAUUGAAUUUCAAUUGAGUUAUUAAAAAGCCAAUAAAAGU